rnacentral:rRNA from 1 species
GACGAACGCUGGCGGCGUGCUUAACACAUGCAAGUCGAACGCUGAUGGCCCAGCUUGCUGGGUUGGAUGAGUGGCGAACGGGUGAGUAACACGUGAGUAACCUGCCCUCUUCUUUGGGAUAACGGUCGGAAACGGCUGCUAAUACCGGGUAUUCACUGUCCUUCGCAUGGGGGGUGGUGGAAAGGUUUUUUCUGGUGGGGGAUGGGCUCGCGGCCUAUCAGCUUGUUGGUGGGGUGAUGGCUUACCAAGGCUUUGACGGGUAACCGGCCUGAGAGGGUGACCGGUCACAUUGGGACUGAGAUACGGCCCAGACUCCUACGGGAGGCAGCAGUGGGGAAUAUUGCACAAUGGGCGAAAGCCUGAUGCAGCGACGCCGCGUGAGGGAUGGAGGCCUUCGGGUUGUAAACCUCUUUCGCUCAUGGUCAAGCCGCAGCUUUGGGUUGUGGUGAGGGUAGUGGGUAAAGAAGCACCGGCUAACUACGUGCCAGCAGCCGCGGUAAUACGUAGGGUGCGAGCGUUGUCCGGAAUUAUUGGGCGUAAAGGGCUUGUAGGCGGUUUGUCGCGUCUGCCGUGAAAUCCUCUGGCUUAACUGGGGGCGUGCGGUGGGUACGGGCAGGCUUGAGUGCGGUAGGGGAGACUGGAACUCCUGGUGUAGCGGUGGAAUGCGCAGAUAUCAGGAAGAACACCGGUGGCGAAGGCGGGUCUCUGGGCCGUUACUGACGCUGAGGAGCGAAAGCGUGGGGAGCGAACAGG